GCCAGGAGUGGCAGUGCAUGCCUGUAGUCCCAGCUACUUGGGAGGCUGAGGCAGGAGGAUCCCUUGAGUCCAGAAGUUCUGGGCUGUAGUGCGGUAUGCCGAUUGGGUGUCUGCACUAAAUCUGGCAUCAAUACGGUGACCUCCUGGGAGUGGGGGGAUUACCUAAGGAGCAGUGAACUGGAACCAGGUCAGAAACAGAUCAGGUCAAAACUUCUGCUCUGAUCAGUGGUGAUCAUGCCUAUGAAUAGCCACUGUACUUCAGCCUGGGCAACACAGUGAGACCCUGCCUCUG
ensembl:misc_RNA Metazoa_SRP Metazoan signal recognition particle RNA